rnacentral:rRNA from 1 species
GCAGCCAGAAUAACCUCCUAAGGGAUAUCUGCAGUGUUUAACGCUCGCCCAUCCGGUUGAUCCCGCCGGACCCGACUGCUAUCAGAGUGGGACUAAGCCAUGCGAGUCAACGCAGCAAUGCGUGGCAUACGGCUCAGUAACACGUAGUCAACAUGCCCAGGGACGUGGAUAACCUCGGGAAACUGAGGAUAAACCGCGAUAGGCCAAGGUUUCUGGAAUGGAUCAUGGCUGAAACCUAUAUGGCCCCUGGAUUGGACUGCGGCCGAUCAGGCUGUGGUGAGGUAAUGGCCCACCAAACUGUAACCGGUACGGGCUCUGAAGGAGGAGCCCGGAAUGGGCACUGAGACAAGGGCCCAGGCCCUAUGGGGCGCAGCAGGCGCGAAACCUCUGCAAUAGGCGAAAGCUUGACAGGGUUACUCUGAUGUGAUGUCCGUUUAACGGGCAUCUUUUGGCCCACUCUUUAGAACUGGUGUCAGAAUAAGGGGUGGGCAAGUCUGGUGUCAGCCGCCGCGGUAAUACCAGCACCCCGAUUGGUCGGGACGAUUAUUGGGCCUAAAGCAUCCGUAGCCGGUUCUGCAAGUCUUCCGUUAAAUCCACCUGCUCAACAGAUGGGCUGCGGGGGAUACUACAGGGCUAGGAGGCGGGAGAGGCAACGGUACUCAGUGGGUAGGGGUAAAAUCCUCUGAUCCACUGAAGACCACCAGUGGCGAAGGCUGGCUUGCCAGAACGCGCUCUGACGGUGAGGGAUGAAAGCUGGGGGAGCAAACCGGAUUAGAUACCCGGGUAGUCCCAGCUGUAAACGAUGCAGACUCGGUGAUGGGUUGGCAUUCGAGCCAACCCAGUGCCGCAGGGAAGCCGUUAAGUCUGCCGCCUGGGGAGUACGGUCGCAAGACUGAAACUUAAAGGAAUUGGCGGGGGAGCACCACAAAGGGGUGAAGCCUGCGGUUCAAUUGGAGUCAACGCCGGA